CGGGUCUCCCGGUCCUUCUGCCAUCAUGCCGAUGUUCAUCGUAAACACCAACGUGCCCCGCGCCUCCGUGCCGGACGGGUUCCUCUCCGAGCUCACCCAGCAGCUGGCGCAGGCCACCGGCAAGCCCCCCCAGUACAUCGCGGUGCACGUGGUCCCGGACCAGCUUAUGGCCUUCGGCGGCUCCAGCGAGCCGUGCGCGCUCUGCAGCCUGCACAGCAUCGGCAAGAUCGGCGGCGCGCAGAACCGCUCCUACAGCAAGCUGCUGUGCGGCCUGCUGGCCGAGCGCCUGCGCAUCAGCCCGGACAGGUACGCGGAGUCGCGGAGGGGCGGGGGAGGGGCGGCGGCGCGCGGCCAGGCCUGGGACUGAGUCCGGCCUCCUGCCCCCGCAGGGUCUACAUCAACUAUUACGACAUGAACGCGGCCAAUGUGGGCUGGAACAACUCCACCUUCGCCUAAGAGCCAAAGGGACCCACGCUGUCUGCGCUGGCUCCACCCGGGAACCCGCCGCACGCUGUGUUCUAGGCCCGCCCACCCCAACCUUCUGGUGGGGAGAAAUAAACGGUUUAGAGACUAGGAG
rnacentral:sRNA from 1 species